UACGUAGGGGGCAAGCGUUGUCCGGAAUCAUUGGGCGUAAAGCGCGUGUAGGCGGUUCGAUUAGUCUGCUGUGAAAGUCGGGGGCUCAACCCUCGAAUGCCGGUGGAUACUGUCGGGCUAGAGUGCGGAAGAGGCGAGUGGAAUUCCUGGUGUAGCGGUGAAAUGCGCAGAUAUCAGGAGGAACACCAGUAGCGAAGGCGGCACUCUGGGCCGGUACUGACGCUGAGGAGCGAAAGCGUGGGGAGCAAACAGG
rnacentral:rRNA from 1 species